rnacentral:rRNA from 1 species
GACGAACGCUGGCGGCGUGCUUAACACAUGCAAGUCGAACGAGAAUCUGCGGAAAGAGGAUUCGUCCAAUUGAAGCAGAGGACAGUGGCGGACGGGUGAGUAACGCGUGAGGAACCUGCCUUUCAGAGGGGGACAACAGUUGGAAACGACUGCUAAUACCGCAUAACAUAUAGAUGUCGCAUGGCAUUUANAUCAAAGAUUUAUCGCUGAAAGAUGGCCUCGCGUCUGAUUAGCUAGUUGGUGAGGUAACGGCCCACCAAGGCGACGAUCAGUAGCCGGACUGAGAGGUUGAACGGCCACAUUGGGACUGAGAUACGGCCCAGACUCCUACGGGAGGCAGCAGUGGGGAAUAUUGGGCAAUGGGCGCAAGCCUGACCCAGCAACGCCGCGUGAAGGAAGAAGGCUUUCGGGUUGUAAACGUUCUUUUGUCAGGGACGAGUAGAAGACGGUACCUGACGAAUAAGCCACGGCUAACUACGUGCCAGCAGCCGCGG